rnacentral:lncRNA from 1 species
UGAUGUUUUGGCAAUCUCUUCUUUGAUAAGAUUCAAGAUAUCCAUGGGGGUAGGUAUGAGGGAUGGUCGUCCAAGGUAAGAGGUGGAUUUUGUGUUUAAGACCUUUCGGGUUCUAUGAUACUCUUUUGAGACUAUGGAGGACGUCAAAGCUAAAUAUAAAGUAUUUUACGGGUAGUUCGGACAUGUAUACUUUGGUUUUAACUGUAUAUCCACGAAAGAGUUGGAUGUAUAUAGGCUU